UACAGAGGUCCCGAGCGUUGUUCGGAUUCACUGGGCGUAAAGGGUGCGUAGGUGGCAUGGGAAGUUUGAUGUGAAAGCUCAGGGCUCAACCCUGAAAUGGCAUUGAAUACUACUGUGCUGGAGGUUUGGAGGGGGGACUGGAAUUCUUGGUGUAGCAGUGAAAUGCGUAGAUAUCAAGAGGAACACCAGUGGCGAAGGCGAGUCCCUGGACAACACCUGACACUGAGGCACGAAAGCUAGGGGAGCAAACAGG
rnacentral:rRNA from 1 species